CCUUAACGAGGAACAAUUGGAGGGCAAGUCUGGUGCCAGCAGCCGCGGUAAUUCCAGCUCCAAUAGCGUAUAUUAAAGUUGUUGCAGUUAAAAAGCUCGUAGUUGAACCUUGGGCCUGGCUGGCCGGUCCGCCUCACCGCGUGCACUGGUCCGGCCGGGCCUUUCCUCCUGGGGAGCCGCAUGCCCUUCACUGGGUGUGCCGGGGAACCAGGACUUUUACUUUGAAAAAAUUAGAGUGUUCAAAGCAGGCCUAUGCUCGAAUACAUUAGCAUGGAAUAAUAGAAUAGGACGUGUGGUUCUAUUUUGUUGGUUUCUAGGACCGCCGUAAUGAUUAAUAGGGAUAGUCGGGGGCAUCAGUAUUCAAUUGUCAGAGGUGAAAUUCUUGGAUUUAUUGAAGACUAACUACUGCGAAAGCAUUUGCCAAGGAUGUUUUCAUUAAUCAGUGAACGAAAGUUAGGGGAUCGAAGACGAUCAGAUACCGUCGUAGUCUUAACCAUAAACUAUGCCGACUAGGGAUCGGGCGAUGUUAUCUUUUUGACUCGCUCGGCACCUUUACGAGAAAAUCAAAGUCUUUGGGUUCUGGGGGGAGUAUGGUCGCAAGGCUGAAACUUAAAGAAAUUGACGGA
rnacentral:rRNA from 1 species